GAUCCUGCCAGUAGUUAUAUGCUUGUCACGAUGAUUAAGCCAUGCAAGUGUAAGUAUAAGUUUUUUAUUUAUAGAAGACGAGACUGCGGACAGCUCAUUAGUGCAGUUUAAUUAAUCUAAGUAAUUAUAGAAUUAUAUGGAUAACCGUAGGAAAUCUAGGGCUAAUACAUGAAUUAUAUUAGUUUUGUUAGAAAUAGUGAGUAAUAACAAAAAAGUAUACAGAUUGUGUAAAAGCGAUUGGUAGAAAGUAUGAAAAUUGUUUAAGAGGAUUUAAAUGAGUAAUUACAAGAGGAUCUGCCCUAUCAACUAUGGUAGGUUAGAUAGAGGCUAACCUAGGUUAUAACGGGUGACGGGGAUUUAGAGUUUGAUUCCGGAGAGGGAGCCUGAGAAAUGGCUACCACUUCCACGGAAGGCAGCAGGCGCGUAAAUUACCCAAUUGUAAAUGAUUUAUAUAUUAAAUAUAUAUGUAUAUAUAGUAUUUGAUAUAUAAGUAUACAGAGGUAGAGAAAUGACGUAAAGGUGAUUUCGGUUAUGCCGAGAUAUGCUUUAAUGAUAAUGAGUUAAAAUAACAAUUAGAAGAAUUAAAUUGGAGGGCAAGUCUGGUGCCAGCAGCCGCGGUAAUUCCAGCUCCAAUAGUGUAUAUUAAAAUUGUUGAAGUUAAAAAGUUCGUAGUUGAAGUUUAUAUUUUUAUAUAAUGAUUUAAUGAUUUAUUUAUAAGUGGUUAAAGAUUUAUAUAUAAAUGUGUAAUAAAUAUAAUAUCUUAAUUAAAUUAUAGUGAUUGAAGGAAUAAUAAGUUUUAAUACGAUGUGAGUAACAAUUAGGGUAUAUGAUAGAUUUAAUAUAUGAUGAAUGAAAAUGAUUGGGAUUAGAUGUAUUGGUUGGCUAGAGGUGAAAUUCUAUGAUUCAAUCAAGACAAACUAAAGCGAAAGCAUUUAAUAAGAGUAAUUUUGUCAAUAAAGAACGAAGGGAUAAGGAUCGAAGAUGAUUAGAUACCGUCGUAGUUUAUCCAGUAAACGAUGAUAAUUAAAGGUUUGAUAUAUAUUAAACUAUUAUUUAGUUGUGUAAACAGUUAGAUGAUAAAAGUAUAUAUUAAGAAUUUUGAUGAGAAAUCGUUGAAUAUUUAUAUUUCUUGGGGAAGUAUGGUUGCAAAGCUGAAACUUAAAGGAAUUGACGGAAGGGCACCACCAGGAGUGGAGCCUGCGGCUUAAUUUGACUCAACACGGGAAACCUCACCAGGCCCGGACACCGGAAGGAUUGACAGAUUGAUAGCUCUUUCUUGAUUCGGUGGGUGGUGGUGCAUGGCCGUUCUUAGUUGGUGGAGCGAUUUGUCUGGUUAAUUCCGAUAACGAACGAGAUGAUAAAAAUAUGUUGUAUCUUGAAUGUUACAUAGAUCUGUGUCUAUAUAAUAUAUAAGAUAGAUCAUAUUUGAUUAAUUACGAUUAAAUUAUUAAGUAAUUUGAAAAGUAUCGCAAUAACAGGUCUGUGAUGCCCUUUGAUAUCUUGGGCUGCACGCGUGUUACAAUAAUAACAAGAGAAAGAUAUAAUAAGCUAAUAUAUAUAUUGACACUAUGUGUAUAUAUAUAUAUUAAAUAUAGCUAUAUGAAAUAUAGUUAAGAGCAUAUAAAAUGUUAUUUGAUUAGUUAGGGAUAGAUUAUUGUAAUUAUUAAUCUUGAACAAGGAAUUCCUAGUAAUUACAUGUCAUAAACAUGUGAUGAUUAAGUCCCUGCCCUUUGUACACACCGCCCGUCGCUCCUACCGAUUGGAUUAUGAGAUGAAAAUCAAGGAGUAGUCUACUAUGAUAUGUACAUAAGUAGAUAUAUAUAGUUAUAUUAUAAAUUGAUUUGAAUUUUAUAAUUUAGAGGAAGGAGAAGUCGUAACAAGGUCUCCGUAGGUGAACCUGCGGAGGGAUCAUUA
rnacentral:rRNA from 1 species